rnacentral:rRNA from 1 species
AGCGAACGUUUGCGGCGGGCUUAACACAUGCAAGUCGAACGGGCUGUUCCUUCGGGGGCAGUCAGUGGCGCACGGGUGCGUAACACGUAGGUAAUCAACCCUCUGGUUGGGGAUAACACUUCGAAAGGAGUGCUAAUACCCGGUAUGGCGCAGCGGUCUUCGGAUCGCGGCGAGAAAGACCCGCAAGGGUUGCCAGAGGACGAGCCUGCGGCCCAUCAGCUAGUUGGCGAGGUAACGGCUCACCAAGGCGAAGACGGGUAGCUGGUCUGAGAGGAUGAUCAGCCACACUGGAACUGAGACACGGUCCAGACUCCUACGGGAGGCAGCAGUGGGGAAUAUUGCGCAAUGGGCGAAAGCCUGACGCAGCCACGCCGCGUGAGCGAUGAAGGCCUCGGUUGUAAG